UGGGCAGAGAGCUUGGGGAAUGCUUGUUC
rnacentral:piRNA from 1 species